rnacentral:rRNA from 1 species
GUGAGGAAUAUUGGUCAAUGGACGAGAGUCUGAACCAGCCAAGUAGCGUGAAGGAUGAAGGUCCUACGGAUUGUAAACUUCUUUUAUAAGGGAAUAAACCCUCCCACGUGUGGGAGCUUGUAUGUACCUUAUGAAUAAGCAUCGGCUAACUCCGUGCCAGCAGCCGCGGUAAUACGGAGGAUGCGAGCGUUAUCCGGAUUUAUUGGGUUUAAAGGGAGCGCAGACGGGUCGUUAAGUCAGCUGUGAAAGUUUGGGGCUCAACCUUAAAAUUGCAGUUGAUACUGGCGUCCUUGAGUGCGGUUGAGGUGUGCGGAAUUCGUGGUGUAGCGGUGAAAUGCUUAGAUAUCACGAAGAACUCCGAUUGCGAAGGCAGCACACUAAGCCGUAACUGACGUUCAUGCUCGAAAGUGUGGGUAUCAAACAGGAUUAGAAACCCCGGUAGUCC